UUAAGCGACUAAGCGUACACGGUGGAUGCCCUGGCAGUCAGAGGCGAUGAAGGACGUGCUAAUCUGCGAAAAGCGUCGGUAAGGUGAUAUGAACCGUUANCCGGCGAUGUCCGAAUGGGGAAACCCAGUGCAAUUCGUUGCACUAUCGUUAACUGAAUACAUAGGUUAACGAGGCGAACCGGGGGAACUGAAACAUCUAAGUACCCCGAGGAAAAGAAAUCAACCGAGAUUCCCCCAGUAGCGGCGAGCGAACGGGGAGCAGCCCAGAGUCUGAAUCAGCUUGUGUGUUAGUGGAACGGUCUGGAAAGUCCGACGGUACAGGGUGAUAGUCCCGUACACCAAAAUGCACAGGCUGUGAACUCGAAGAGUAGGGCGGGACACGUGGUAUCCUGUCUGAAUAUGGGGGGACCAUCCUCCAAGGCUAAAUACUCCUGACUGACCGAUAGUGAACCAGUACCGUGAGGGAAAGGCGAAAAGAACCCCGGCGAGGGGAGUGAAAAAGAACCUGAAACCGUGUACGUACAAGCAGUGGGAGCACCUUCGGGUGUGACUGCGUACCUUUUGUAUAAUGGGUCAGCGACUUAUAUUCUGUAGCAAGGUUAACCGUAUAGGGGAGCCGCAGGGAAACCGAGUCUUAACUGGGCGUUAAGUUGCAGGGUAUAGACCCGAAACCCGGUGAUCUAGCCAUGGGCAGGUUGAAGGUUGGGUAACACUAACUGGAGGACCGAACCGACUAAUGUUGAAAAAUUAGCGGAUGACUUGUGGCUGGGGGUGAAAGGCCAAUCAAACCGGGAGAUAGCUGGUUCUCCCCGAAAGCUAUUUAGGUAGCGCCUCGUGAAUUCAUCUUCGGGGGUAGAGCACUGUUUCGGCUAGGGGGUCAUCCCGACUUACCAACCCGAUGCAAACUACGAAUACCGAAGAAUGUUAUCACGGGAGACACACGGCGGGUGCUAACGUCCGUCGUGAAGAGGGAAACAACCCAGACCGCCAGCUAAGGUCCCAAAGUCAUGGUUAAGUGGGAAACGAUGUGGGAAGGCACAGACAGCCAGGAUGUUGGCUUAGAAGCAGCCAUCAUUUAAAGAAAGCGUAAUAGCUCACUGGUCGAGUCGGCCUGCGCGGAAGAUGUAACGGGGCUAAACCAUGCACCGAAGCUGCGGCAGCGACACUAUGUGUUGUUGGGUAGGGGAGCGUUCUGUAAGCCUGCGAAGGUGUGCUGUGAGGCAUGCUGGAGGUAUCAGAAGUGCGAAUGCUGACAUAAGUAACGAUAAAGCGGGUGAAAAGCCCGCUCGCCGGAAGACCAAGGGUUCCUGUCCAACGUUAAUCGGGGCAGGGUGAGUCGACCCCUAAGGCGAGGCCGAAAGGCGUAGUCGAUGGGAAACAGGUUAAUAUUCCUGUACUUGGUGUUACUGCGAAGGGGGGACGGAGAAGGCUAUGUUAGCCGGGCGACGGUUGUCCCGGUUUAAGCAUGUAGGCUGGUUGUCCAGGCAAAUCCGGAUAAUCAAGGCUGAGGUGUGAUGACGAGGCACUACGGUGCUGAAGUAACAAAUGCCCUGCUUCCAGGAAAAGCCUCUAAGCAUCAGGUAACAUUAAAUCGUACCCCAAACCGACACAGGUGGUCAGGUAGAGAAUACCAAGGCGCUUGAGAGAACUCGGGUGAAGGAACUAGGCAAAAUGGUGCCGUAACUUCGGGAGAAGGCACGCUGGUGUGUAGGUGAAGUCCCUGCGGAUGGAGCUGAGACCAGUCGAAGAUACCAGCUGGCUGCAACUGUUUAUUAAAAACACAGCACUGUGCAAACACGAAAGUGGACGUAUACGGUGUGACGCCUGCCCGGUGCCGGAAGGUUAAUUGAUGGGGUUAUCCGUAAGGAGAAGCUCUUGAUCGAAGCCCCGGUAAACGGCGGCCGUAACUAUAACGGUCCUAAGGUAGCGAAAUUCCUUGUCGGGUAAGUUCCGACCUGCACGAAUGGCGUAAUGAUGGCCAGGCUGUCUCCACCCGAGACUCAGUGAAAUUGAACUCGCUGUGAAGAUGCAGUGUACCCGCGGCAAGACGGAAAGACCCCGUGAACCUUUACUAUAGCUUGACACUGAACAUUGAGCCUUGAUGUGUAGGAUAGGUGGGAGGCUUUGAAGCGUGGACGCCAGUCUGCGUGGAGCCAACCUUGAAAUACCACCCUUUAAUGUUUGAUGUUCUAACGUUGGCCCCUUACCGGGGUUGCGGACAGUGUCUGGUGGGUAGUUUGACUGGGGCGGUCUCCUCCCAAAGCGUAACGGAGGAGCACGAAGGUUAGCUAAUCCUGGUCGGACAUCAGGAGGUUAGUGCAAUGGCAUAAGCUAGCUUGACUGCGAGCGUGACGGCGCGAGCAGGUGCGAAAGCAGGUCAUAGUGAUCCGGUGGUUCUGAAUGGAAGGGCCAUCGCUCAACGGAUAAAAGGUACUCCGGGGAUAACAGGCUGAUACCGCCCAAGAGUUCAUAUCGACGGCGGUGUUUGGCACCUCGAUGUCGGCUCAUCACAUCCUGGGGCUGAAGUAGGUCCCAAGGGUAUGGCUGUUCGCCAUUUAAAGUGGUACGCGAGCUGGGUUUAGAACGUCGUGAGACAGUUCGGUCCCUAUCUGCCGUGGGCGCUGGAGAAUUGAGGGGGGCUGCUCCUAGUACGAGAGGACCGGAGUGGACGCAUCACUGGUGUUCGGGUUGUCAUGCCAAUGGCACUGCCCGGUAGCUAAAUGCGGAAGAGAUAAGUGCUGAAAGCAUCUAAGCACGAAACUUGCCCCGAGAUGAGUUCUCCCUGAGACUUUAAGUCUCCUGAAGGAACGUUAAAGACGAUGACGUUGAUAGGCCGGGUGUGUAAGCGCAGCGAUGCGUUGAGCUAACCGGUACUAAUGAACCGUGAGGCUUAACCUU
rnacentral:rRNA from 1 species